UACGUAGGGACCAAGCGUUGUCCGGAAUCAUUGGGCGUAAAGAGCGUGUAGGCGGCCUGUUAAGUCUUGUGUGAAAUCUCGGGGCUCAACCCCGAAACUGCACUUGAUACUGCCUCGCUUGAGUACUGGAGAGGAGACUGGAAUUUACGGUGUAGCAGUGAAAUGCGUAGAUAUCGUAAGGAAGACCAGUGGCGAAGGCGAGUCUCUGGACAGUUACUGACGCUGAGGCACGAAGGCCAGGGGAGCAAACGGG
rnacentral:rRNA from 1 species